CUCCACAGCCCCGAAGUCUCAGCUCAGGAAGGGUGAGUGCUGGGGGAUUAUCAGCUGGGGCUCGGCUCCCUCCCUUGCAGACAGCAAGCAGGUAAGGGCUUCAUUUUGCUGUUUUCUCCAUGGAGGGCUCUGGGAAAGGAUCCUGCAAGUUGGAACCUCCUAAGACUCCAGAACCAGGAGCGGCUCCCUCUCAUAUCUACUCCCCUCAAACCCUGUCAUUCCCGGGAAGCUCCCAGAGGCAGCUGAGGCCACGCCCCUGCUCCUGAGCGGCAGCAUCCAGACCCGGAAAGGACCUAGUUUCAGCCUGGCACCUCCCAAGAGGAGGACUCCCAGGCUCAGAGAUGUUAAGGAACUUCCUUGGGGGUCACACAGUGAGUCAGCAGCCCAGCCACGAUUCAAGUCCAGGUCAACCUGACCCCAAAGUCUGUGUUGAGACAUUAUGCCACGGUCCCUCCAGCACUACUCUCAUUCCACCAAUGCUUACUGAGCCUGACUCCUUGUAAGUGACCAAGGAUACAGCGAUGAGAAAUGCACAGCCCGGCCCUGCAGAGGCUCAGAGUGCGGCGAGGACAAGACGUGAGAACCACGGCGUGUGCUGUGCCUGAGGGAGCUGUGGGGACACUGAGAAGGAGCCCCUCACCCAGAUGGGGGCUGUUCCUAUUUUAUUCCUGCCCACAAGCCACCAGGUGACCCCUGAAAAGCUUUGAGACCAUAGGACCCUGCCUGGAGUGACUUCUGUGUGUCCUCCUGGGGAAAAGGACCAGUCUCUCUCCUAUGAGGGUGGGAGCCUCCACUUUGGUGUGUGACCCCUGAGGGAGAAGUGAACGUGAAGACAUGAAGGAGGCACUGCCUGCAGCCUGAAUUUCUCGGGUGGCCUCAGGCUUAUCCCAGCAAAGAACCCCAUAAACAGGGCAGGGAUGUCGGGCUCCAGAAAUGGGCCUGCCCUGUU
rnacentral:lncRNA from 1 species